rnacentral:ribozyme from 14 species
AUUCAUGUAUUGUUUCCUUUCUCUCUUUCUCUCUUUUUCUUCUUCUAUUCUCUUUCUCUCUCACCGUUCGAACUGAGCCGUACUAUAGUAGCUAUAGCCGGAUUUUUAAUUAAAAAAGGGGGAUAGAUCAGAGAU